rnacentral:rRNA from 1 species
AUGGAGGCGGCUCUUGUCAGCGUGGCGACGGGGGUCCUCAAACCUGUCAUAGGAAAGCUGACCGUUCUGCUCGGCAAUGAGUACAAGCGUUUCAAGACAGUUCGCAAGGAGAUCAAGUCACUCACUAAUGAGCUUGCCGCCAUGGAGGCUUUUCUUCUGAAGAUGUCAGAGGAGGAGGAUCCCGAUGUGUAG